UUGCUCACUUUGGUAACACUAUGCCGAUAGGAAAGGUGCAGAGAACAUGAACAUCACCCCUGCACAAAGAUGACAUGCAAAUUCUUGAAUAUUCCAUAUUCCUU